UUCGAUUUUCGCGCGUAAAAUUAAAAUGAAUAAAAAUAAAUUGAAGUAAACCACAUCGCUUCAACUAAUCAAAAAGGCCCAGUAACGAAACGAGUCAGUGCGCAUCAUAAUGCGCAUGGCAGUAGUUCAUAGUUGAAAAUCGUGGUGCCGGCUGGUCACGUUUUGUUCUGAAGUGCGAAAUACUUAAAAUUCUUACCGAUAGGAUAUGAUAUUAUAAUUAUUAUUUAUAUUUAACAAUAAGUUUUAAUAAGUUUUGUAUAAUAUGCAUUUGUUUGAUCAUUAUUAUAGCAGAAUUGAAGAUUUUUGAUGAAGAUGACGAAGGAUAAAGAUCAAUUAUCAUUUCAUUGGAACUUCGAAGACAAGAUGGCUUGAAAAAUUUCUCAUCGAGUAAAUCCCAUGAACCAUAAUGUCAUUGAUGGCAGAUUCUACGCAUCUAAUGAAUCGAAGCUCUAAAAAUAUCCCAGGAAUAUACAAUUUAUAUGUGAAAUUUAUUAUACCAAGGAAAUAAUUAAGAAGGAAACUUUCUUCUCUUCAAAACACUAUCUUCAUUCAACGAAUAAAUAAAUAAAUAAUCUAACUUUGAAAAUCAAUUUAUAUUAUCAGAGAUGACAAUCGACUGUGAAAUGUAGAAAUAACGAUCGUUGCGGUCGCAUUGAUACUUGGACGAAUAGCGAAGCUGCAUAACAGAGCCUCAAAAGACGGUUAAUUGGGGAAGCGCGUAGAGGGGUUGCAACAGGGUGCACGAGUCCUCCUUCGUUGGCUCGAGAACCGAGCAGAUCCUGACCUGGACAUCAAAGCCGGGGCUUAAAGCGACGUAACCGUUCGCCUGCAGCGGGCUUAAGGGGUGAAUUUCACCCCUCAUUGCGACGCCACGGAUAUCCCAGCCUUACUGACCGUCGGCUGAACGCGUCCAGGAAAUCCGGCAGAGGGUGGAGAAACAGAUACCUCGAUUGUGGCCAAUCCAGAGAGAAAUUCAGUCGAUGUUGUCGAUAGAAAUAUGUUUAAAAGAAGUUUCUCGAUUGAGACUGUGUUGAGUGUCUCUGGUGGAAGAAAUAAUGUGUAAGGUGAAAAUCGAAAAAGAUUAUUCGGAUUAUUGAUAAGGUCUUUUUUUAAAAAAAAAACGAAUUUAAUUAUAUUAUUCGAAUUUUUAAUAUAGAAGAAUAAUUUUAACAUAGUGUGAAUAUAUUUGGAAGAAAUUUCUAUAAUGGAUUGUGGUUUCGAUGGUUCGAUGGUUCGAUAUGUAAAGAUAUGUAAAAUUAAUAAAAAUUAUUGAUGAAGAUUUUAAAAAUAUA